GCGAGUCGAGAGGGUUCGGCCCUCGGCAGACUGCUCAGUAACACGUGGAUAACUUACCCUUAUGUGGAGGAUAAUCUCGGGAAACUGAGAAUAAUACUCCAUAGAUCUAGGCUGCUGGAAUGCAUCUAGAUCAAAAGCUCCGGCGCCUAAGGAUAGGUCUGCGGACUAUCAGGUUGUAGUCAGGGUAAAGACCUGACUAGCCUACGACGGAUAUGGGUUGUGAGAGCAAUAGCCCAGAGACGAUAUCUGAGACACGAUAUCGGGCCCUACGGGGCGCAGCAGGCGCGAAAUCUUCACAAUGUGCGAAAGCACGAUGAGGGAAUCCCAAGUGCUAGCACGUAAGUGUUAGCUGUUUCUUAGUCUAAAAAACUCAGAGAGUAAGGGCUGGGUAAGACGGGUGCCAGCCGCCGCGGUAAUACCUGCAGCUCAAGUGGUGGCCGCUAUUAUUGGGCCUAAAACGUCCGUAGCCUGUUUAGUAAAUGCCUGGGUAAAUUGUGUAGCUUAACUAUACGAAUACCGGGUAGACUGCUAAACUUGGGACCGGGAGAGGCUAGAGGUACUCCUAGGGUAGAGGUGAAAUU
rnacentral:rRNA from 1 species